AUCGAACGCUGGCGGCAGGCUUAACACAUGCAAGUCGAGCGGAGCGGCGGACGGGCGAGUAAUGCCUAGGAAUCUGCCUGGUAGUGGGGUAUAACGUCCGGAAACGGGCGCUAAUCUCGCAUACUAUCAGAUGAGCCUAGGUCGGAUUAGCUAGAUGGUGGGGUAAAGGCCUACCAAGGCGACGAUCCGUAACUGGUCUGAGAGGAUGAUCAGUCAGACUGGAACUAGGACACGGUCCAGACUCAUACGGGAGGCAGCAGUGGGGAAAAUUGGACAAUUGGCGAAAGCCUGAUCCGGCCAUGCCGCGUGUGUGAAGAGGGUCUUCGGAUUGUAAAGCACUUUAAGUUGGGAGGCGUUACCAACAGAAUAAGCACCGGCUAACUUCGUGCCAGCAGCCGCGGUAAUAC
rnacentral:rRNA from 1 species